AUACGGAGGAUCCGAGCGUUAUCCGGAUUUAUUGGGUUUAAAGGGUGCGCAGGCGGCCAUUUAAGUCAGCGGUUAAAUCGUGGGGCUCAACCCCAUUCUGCCGUUGAUACUGGGUGGCUUGAUUGCGGUCGAGGUUGGCGGAAUUCGUUGUGUAGCGGUGAAAUGCAUAGAUAUGACGAAGAACACCGAUUGCGUAGGCAGCUUACCAGACCGCAAAUGACGCUCAUGCACGAAAGUGCGGAGAUCGAACAGGAUUAGAUACCCUUGUAGUCCGCACAGUAAACGAUGAAUACUUGUUUUCGGCGAUAUAAUGGCGGAGGCAAAGCGAAAGCGAUAAGUAUUCCACCUGGGGAGUACGCCGGCAACGGUGAAACUCAAAGAAAGUGACGGGG
rnacentral:rRNA from 1 species